rnacentral:rRNA from 1 species
AACGCGAAGAACCUUACCAGGUCUUGACAUCCUCUGACACUCCUAGAGAUAGGACGUUCCCCUUCGGGGGACAGAGUGACAGGUGGUGCAUGGUUGUCGUCAGCUCGUGUCGUGAGAUGUUGGGUUAAGUCCCGCAACGAGCGCAACCCUUGAUCUUAGUUGCCAGCAUUCAGUUGGGCACUCUAAGGUGACUGCCGGUGACAAACCGGAGGAAGGUGGGGAUGACGUCAAAUCAUCAUGCCCCUUAUGACCUGGGCUACACACGUGCUACAAUGGAUGGUACAAAGGGCUGCAAAACCGCGAGGUUAAGCGAAUCCCAUAAAACCAUUCUCAGUUCGGAUUGCAGGCUGCAACUCGCCUGCAUGAAGCUGGAAUCGCUAGUAAUCGCGGAUCAGCAUGCCGCGGUGAAUACGUUCCCGGGCCUUGUA